UACGUAGGGCGCAAGCGUUGUCCGGAAUUAUUGGGCGUAAAGAGCUCGUAGGCGGUCUGUUACGUCUGCUGUGAAAACCCGGGGCUUAACCCUGGGCUUGCAGUGGAUACGGGCAGACUAGAGUGCGGUAGGGGUGACUGGAAUUCCUGGUGUAGCGGUGGAAUGCGCAGAUAUCAGGAGGAACACCGAUGGCGAAGGCAGGUCACUGGGCCGCAACUGACGCUGAGGAGCGAAAGCAUGGGGAGCGAACAGG
rnacentral:rRNA from 1 species